UAGAAUCCGGCUGCCGUGUGUUCUGUGU
rnacentral:sRNA from 1 species